CCAUCACGCCACCGAGCAGCGCCUCGGAUCCUCAGCCUUCCCGAAGUAUCGAGUAGCCGCCUGCCUGCCCGCUUCCGUACACGAAGGGGAAGAGCCAUCAGCCAUGGAGAAGCAGAUCAAGCCGGCGCCCGACGCGCUCCUCCUCGCGCUCCGCUGCGCCAGAGCGUCGCUCCUCCUCGCCUCCCUCCGCCGCCUCCGCGAGUCUUCGCCGCCGCCGCCGCCGCGGGCUAGCCGGAGCUCAUCCGACUCCUCCUCCUCCUCCGCCGCCGCCGCCGCAGUAACACCUUCACCCCCUCCUCCGUCCUCCUGUUCUCGCUAAGGAGUGCGCGCUCGGGGCCGCCGACCGCCACCACCGCGGGGAGGUCGCGGCGCCGCGGCGCGAGGCCGCCGGGCAAUCGCGGCUCGCCGAGUCCGAGCUGUUCCUCAUCAUCGCCGUGGCCCCCGUGGUCCUGCUGCUGCUCCUCCUCCUCGGGCUUCUCUAGGACAGCGGCGUCGGGAGUAGCGCGGGGCGGGAUCCGCGUGCCUACGGCGACCGAAUCCGAAGCGAUUUGGAGUCUCCUCCCGUUCUGGGCUCCGUAAGUUGCUUCCGUUGUUGAUGUGGUGUUACGUUCUUCGGCUGACCAUGCUUCGCGGUGGAUUUAAUUUUGCGGCGGAUGCUGUACAUGUCCAUCAGUUUUGGUGUCAGGUUCGUGUGCAGUGGGUGUUCGAUCAAAUGCCUGUUUGAGUUUAGUUGCGUGUAGGUAAGCAGAGUUAUUUCGGUUUAAUUGUUCAUCGACAAAUGAAACCGAUGCGUACUGGAAGGGAGAAUGCUUGCCCCGUUGAUGUUCAUGGAUCCGCUGUUUGUCCAAUUGAUGUGGAUAGAAUGGUAGAAUCAGCGGUAUGCCUUGCAUUGUGAAUUAUUUGCUUUCACUGCCAUGGUUUUUGCGGAUUGCCCUGCGAUGGAGCGUAGAUGUAUCAUGUAACCGAUUGAUGCUG